rnacentral:tRNA from 1 species
GGUCCUGUAGCUCAGUGGUAAGAGCAGUCGACUCAUAAUCGAUUGGUCAUUGGUUCAAACCCAAUCAGGAUCACCA